UAUCUUCAAGUGCAUCGAUGG
rnacentral:siRNA from 1 species